ACGGAAGGCAGCAGUAGGGAAUCUUCCACAAUGGGCGAAAGCCUGAUGGAGCAACGCCGCGUGUGUGAUGAAGGGUUUCGGCUCGUAAAACACUGUUGUAAGAGAAGAAUGACAUUGAGAGUAACUGUUCAAUGUGUGACGGUAUCUUACCAGAAAGGAACGGCUAAAUACGUGCCAGCAGCCGCGGUAAUACGUAUGUUCCAAGCGUUAUCCGGAUUUAUUGGGCGUAAAGCGAGCGCAGACGGUUAUUUAAGUCUGAAGUGAAAGCCCUCAGCUCAACUGAGGAAUUGCUUUUGAAACUGGAUGAUUUGAGUGCAGGAGAGGAAAGUGGAACUCCAUGUGUAGCGGUGAAAUGCGUAGAUAUAUGGAAGAACACCAGUGGCGAAGGCGGCUUGCUGGACUGUAACUGACGUUGAGGCUCGAAAGUGUGGGUAGCAAACAGGAUUAGAUACCCUGGUA
rnacentral:rRNA from 1 species